UGAAUCUUGUUGCCUCUUAGAAAGAUAAAAUAAAAUUUGUCAUCUUACUGGACCCCAACACCAUCUCUGGCAGUCAUCUUCCUUUUCCCCAUUUCAACUUCUCUCUUAGGUAUCUGUGGUCUGUGGUCGCUCUCCCACUUCUUAAUUGCUGGCUUUUGGAUCCCUUACAAACCUGGCUUCUCCCCUCUCCACACAAACUGUAGCCUUGAAGGAAAUCCGUGACCUCUGGAUUGCAAAGUCUGCUGAGCUGUCAACGUGAUGAGGUCAGAGUUUUGCGCACUCUGGUGUCUCCAGCGACUAGCAGAGUUUUUGACAUAUGAUUUCACCAUGAACCAAAAGUGGAGUGAUUACCGGUUAAAGAUACUGAAGACCUAAGUCCAGGAAAUUCCGAGGUGCCAGGUGUUUGAUGGGAUUUCAGAAUUGGUACCUCUCCUUGACCAUCCACAGCAGGAUCUGAGGUUGUGCAGUUUUUUCCUGUGGACACUUCCUUUUUCUCAGAGUUUCUGCAGAAUGUUUUCUCCAGGAAGACUUCACAGGAGUCUGGUGUGAGCCGGCGUUGAAGGUAGGACCAAGAUUUCUCUCUGUCUCUGCUCCCUUCAUUUAAAACAAGCUUGGCCCCUGAAUUGCUGGACUUUCUGGCCUCUCACCCUCACAUCCCCCGAAUCCUGUGCAGUUGUUCUACUGCGGAGGCCCUUCUGACUCUGCCCAGACUUCUCUCUGUGGGAUGCCCUCCUCCCUCUCCCCUGAAUAACUCCUAAUCGUCCUUCGCUACAGUGCUCAAAAUAUGUGCCACACAGUGACUUCCCUGGUGGUCCAGCAGUAAAGAAU